rnacentral:lncRNA from 1 species
UAAAAUAAUAUUAUUAAUUUAAAAUUCAAAACAGGUUUUACAUAUAAAAACGUUUUUAAUAUUUCAUAAACACAAAACAAUAUACUUAAAACUAACAUCUAAAAUCUUAAAAUUAGCAUUUAAAUCCUAAAUUUAACAUUAAAUUCUAAAACUAACAUCCAAAUCUGUAAAACUAAUAUCUAAAUCCAUAACAUUUGUUAAAAAAUUGUAAAAACUGAAUUUUUGAAAACAAAAUUGUAAAAAUGUUUUUUCAUAUGGUAAAAUACAAAAAAAAAACUUUUUUUAAAAUAACACAAUUAAUUUAAAAUAGAAAUCAGUUUUUCAUAAGAAAAAAAUUAAAAAAAAA